rnacentral:tRNA from 1 species
GUGGUCUUAGCUCAGUUGGUAGAGCCGCAGGUUGUGAUCCUGCUUGUCACGGGUUCGAGUCCCGUAGGCCACC